rnacentral:rRNA from 1 species
UACAUGUGGGGCAAGCGUUGUUCGGAAUUACUGGGCAUAAAGGGUGCGUAGGUGGUUUGUUAAGUCAGGGGUGAAAUCCCGCGGCCCAACCGUGGAACUGCCUUUGAUACUGGCGAACUUGAGUGCGUGAGGGGUAGGGGGAACGAGCAGUGUAGCGGUGAAAUGCGUAGAUAUCUGGAGGAACACCGGUGGCGAAGGCGGCAUCCUGGGCCAAUAUUGACGCUGAGGAGCGAAAGCCAGGGGAGCAAACGGG